rnacentral:rRNA from 1 species
GACAGAGGUGCCGAGCGUUAGGCGGAAUCACUGGGCUUAAAGCGUGUGUAGGCGGGCCGUUAAGUAUCUUGUGAAAUCCCCCGGCUCAACCGGGGAAUGGCUGGAUAUACUGGCGGUCUUGAGCAAUCUAGGGGCAGAUGGAACAGAUGGUGGAGCGGUGAAAUGCGUAGAUAUCAUCUGGAACGCCAAUGGUGAAAACAGCUCGCUGGGGGUUUGCAGACGCUGAGACACGAAAGCCAGGGGAGCGAACGGG